UGGAAAUCAAGAAAAGAAGAUCAUCAAGGUUACCUAGAAAAGUUCUAAAAUCUUCAGAUCAAAAAUGAGUGGGAAGACUGGAUUAUUUACCUACCAAAGAGAUGGCAGAACACAUUUGUAUGAAAUGAAAACACAAGGUGAUAGACUCAAAGCAAGCAAGAUCUUCUUCAACAAUGAGCAGCCUCUGGGCAUAGAACUUCACAUCUCUAUUCUGUUUUCAAAACUGUAAUUUCAAGGAGUUGGACAUUGUCAUCUGUCUUAUGUUGCAAUACAGGAUGUGACCAAAAGUAUGUAUUCUAUCACCAUUUGUCGAAACCAGAUGGGGCAGUCAUCCUUAUCUCUGUGGGAGAUACCCUCUGUUAAUGGGCCAUCUGUUAAAACCAGGUGGAGAAGUCAUCUUUAUCUUUUCCACAACCCAUCCUUCCUCCAGGAAAUAUUGUUUGUUAAUGGCCCAUUGAUUCUCACCCCAUGACUGAUAAAAUUACAUCAUCCCAUUGGCAGAUGUUCCACACAGGGGGAGGAGCCAAGCCUUUCCUACCCAGAUAAAAACUGAGAUUUGGAACACCAAAGCGGCUGCUUUUUCCACUGGAUUCCAAGGAAAAACUGGACCUUUCCACAUCUUCCCUUGACCUUUAGAGGAAAACUGCACCUUCUGCAGGAGCACUGCUUCAACUGAACCACAUCUACCACUGCAGGACUGUAGCCACCAUUUAAUGGGACUGCUACCAACACUCUGACUGACAGGGUGUCAGGUUGUAUUCUGACUCUGUCAGUGUUUUGGGUUUGCUCUUUGUAAUACUGUAUUUCUAUUUUAAUUUUCCUAGUAAAGAACUGUUAUUCUUACUUCC